CGCUGGCGGUAGGCUUAACACAUGCAAGUCGAGCGAGAAAGUAUCUUCGGAUAUGAGUAGAGCGGCGGACGGGUGAGUAACGCGUAGGAAUCUACCUAGUAGAAGGGGAUAGCCCGGGGAAACUCGGAUUAAUACCGUAUACCUCCUAAGGGAGAAAGAGGGCCUCUCUUGAUGCUCUCGCUAUUAGAUGAGCCUGCGUAAGAUUAGCUUGUUGGUAAGGUAAUGGCUUACCAAGGCUACGAUCUUUAGCUGGUCUGAGAGGACGAUCAGCCACAUUGGGACUGAGACACGGCCCAGACUCCUACGGGAGGCAGCAGUGGGGAAUAUUGGACAAUGGGCGCAAGCCUGAUCCAGCCAUACCGCGUGUGUGAAGAAGGCCUUCGGGUUGUAAAGCACUUUAAGCAGGGAGAAAAAGUUAUAAGUUAAUACCUUGUAACCGUGAUGUUACCUGCAGAAUAAGCACCGGCUAAUUCCGUGCCAGCAGCCGCGGUAAUACGGAAGGUGCAAGCGUUAAUCGGAAUUACUGGGCGUAAAGCGCGCGUAGGUGGUUUGUUAAGUUGGAUGUGAAAGCCCUGGGCUCAACCUAGGAACUGCAUCCAAAACUAACUCACUAGAGUACGAUAGAGGGAGGUAGAAUUCAUAGUGUAGCGGUGGAAUGCGUAGAUAUUAUGAAGAAUACCAGUGGCGAAGGCGGCCUCCUGGAUCUGUACUGACACUGAGGUGCGAAAGCGUGGGUAGCGAACAGGAUUAGAUACCCUGGUAGUCCACGCCGUAAACGAUGACAACUAGCUGUUGGGAGACAAUGUCUUUCAGUGGCGCAGCUAACGUUUUAAGUUGUCCGCCUGGGG
rnacentral:rRNA from 1 species